AGUGAACGCUGGCGGUAGGCCUAACACAUGCAAGUCGAACGGCAGCACAGUAAGAGCUUGCUCUUACGGGUGGCGAGUGGCGGACGGGUGAGGAAUACAUCGGAAUCUACUUUUUCGUGGGGGAUAACGUAGGGAAACUUACGCUAAUACCGCAUACGACCUACGGGUGAAAGCAGGGGAUCUUCGGACCUUGCGCGAUUGAAUGAGCCGAUGUCGGAUUAGCUAGUUGGCGGGGUAAAGGCCCACCAAGGCGACGAUCCGUAGCUGGUCUGAGAGGAUGAUCAGCCACACUGGAACUGGGACACGGUCCAGACUCCUACGGGAGGCAGCAGUGGGGAAUAUUGGACAAUGGGCGCAAGCCUGAUCCAGCCAUACCGCGUGGGUGAAGAAGACCUUCGGGUUGUAAAGCCCUUUUGUUGGGAGAGAAAAGCAGCAGGUUAAUACCCCGCUGUUCUGACGGUACCCAAAGAAUAAGCACCGGCUAACUUCGUG
rnacentral:rRNA from 1 species